CCCUGUGCAUCUUAUCUACCCGUCAUUGUUCAGCCAGGAGGUCAUUUAGGGUCACUGGCAGUCUGUUUGACUCACUACUCCACAACCCGGCCUCCAAACCUUAUCGAGACCAGUCCGACAAUUCCACAAUGUAUGACUCUCCAUAAAAGGAGACUUUCCAUUUCAUCCCAGACACUGAACGAGCUGUAAGCCUCGCUAAGUCACUUUAGCUCCAUCGCCUCAGCUCAUGUAAGCCAAUUCAUGCUGAAUAAGACCAUGUUAAUCUGGGGUUUAAAAUGAGACUAAGUAACUUGAUUUCUAUCCUCUGUUAACCUGAAAUUGCUGCGAUGGCCAACUGGACUCAUGGCUGGAGGGUUUUUGUUGUUACUGUUCUCAAAACAAUGUGUUCAUGUUUUUUUCUCUCAAGUUUUCCUGUUGCUUCAUGUGGCUCAACAGGAAGGAUAGGAGAAACACACACAUAUAUACACAUACACACUGUUUCCUGAAAAGUAGCUUCAGUUCCCACAGCUUCAAUUCAUUUUUGUACUCUCACCAGAAACUACACAUACAUGCAUAUAAAAUAUUUCAUUCAUCAUACACAUGUGGUUCUGCAGACAGGGUAUUUUCUACUUUGCAAUCAUGGCCAUCAAAUGAGAUGAAAAUACAGUCCCAUCUAAUUAAUGUUGUUAGUAUAAUAGGGGAAUUGUUACAUGGGACGGAGCAGGUGACCUCAGUGCAGACACAGGGGAGGAGUCUAGGGUAUCAUAGGAACAAGGUAUUUAUUUUAAGGCAAGGAAAAGGUAAUGCAGACCUUGGGAAGCUUGGACUGGUAGCUAGGAACAUGGUGCUGGGGCUGAAGCUGGAAGCUUGGAACCUGGGGUUUGGGCUGGUAGCCAGGAACCAGGAGCUGAGUCAAGCCGGGGCAAGGGGAGCAGGUCUGGAGUGGAAUCCGUGGUGGGAAAGCAGAGUAGAACAAGGGUCCCGGGCAGGGAAGCAGGGCCAAUGAGACGAGGGACAGAAGACGGGAACCUGAGACAGAGCAGAUGGGACUGCGGGAAAUAGGAGACAGGGACGGGAGCCAGAGCAGACGGGACUGUGGGGAUGAGAUGUGGGACAGGAGACAGGGACUGGAGCCAGAGCAGACGGGACUGCCAGGAUGAGAUUCAGGGAGGAGAACCAAGGCUAUGGAUGACUUGGACACCGGAGAUGAGCAGGGCAAGGUAGCUCAGGUGGACGGCCCAAGGACAGAACAGGGACAGAGCAAGAACCCUGAGACAGAUGGCUCGGGAAACUGGACGCUGGAAACCAUGACUGGAAGACAGGGCAGAUGGGUGGAGUCACUUGAGAGGUCAACCAGAAGACAGGAAAGAAAGGCGGAGCUGCUUUGAAGGGCGACCAGACGAAAGGACAGAUAGGCGGAGAUGCUCUGGAGGUUGAGGAGAUGGGCGGGACUGCUCUGGAAGUCGACUGAGAUGCUCAGAGCAGAGACCUUUACAGCAGCUGGGGAUCUGGCGGGAUGUUAGCGGAAAUGGCCGACAGCUGAAGGUCUGGCUGGGCAUCAGCAAGGGUGGCCGAUAGCUGAGGAUGUGGCAGGACGUUGGCGGAGACAGCUGAUGGCUUGGGAACAGGCUUGACCUCGGCAGGGGCAGCUGGUGGUUCGGGAACAGGCUGGAUGUUGGCAGGGGUGGCCGGUGGCUCGGGAACCGGCUACAUGCUAGCAGGGGCAGCUGAUGGCUCGGGAACAGGCUGGAUGUUGGCAGGGGCGGCUGAUGGCUUGGAAACUGGAGCAGGUUGAGCAUUGGCAGGGAUGGCUGACAACUCAGGAACUGGAACAGGCUAAGCCUCAGUAGUAGGCAACAGAGAAAACCGCCUCAGGAAACAUUGAGACCAUACCUUCCUCUGGAGGCUGUCCGGUACCCAGGGAAAAUAGCAAAGUGAAACCCAUAGAAAGGGAACUGCUUCACUGGCAGGAUCAGGCAGGAUGCUAGCUUUCUCUGGGACAGGGGUAGACUGGAGGCUAGCAGACUUGAGGACAGGCUGGUGACUAGCAGGGCCAAAGCUAGCUGACUGGGUAGCAAACUGGUGGGUAGCAGGCCCAAAGCUAGCAGACUGGGUAGCAAUCUGAUGGCUAGCAAGCCCAGAGCUAGAUGACUGGGAGACAGGCUGAUGGCUAGCAGGCCCAAAGCUAGCUGACUGGGAGACAAGAUGAUGGCUAGCACGCUGGAUACGCCCAAGCCGGAGGCUAGCCACACAAGACACAGGAUUGGAGCUAGCUAAAGAACUGCUUGGCUGCUCCAGGGAGGAGUUUGGAGACUCCAAGGAGACACAGGAAGCUGGAAUUAUGGGCCUGGGAAGAACAUGGUUAAAAGUGAGUUUCCACCUGCAGGAAGCCACUUCCAGGGCAAACUUAGGAUCCUUCUUCCAGAUGGCAGUGAGGAGCCUAAAAAUUCUGGCUCUUCAUUGUGGAGAAUGUCUCCCAGCACACCAAAAGCCACCCAAAUAUUCAGCAGGCCAUGCAGGGGAAUGUCUGCUGGGUUCAUGUUGCUGGCCAGAUCGUACUGUUACAUGGGGUGAAGCAGGUGAACCCAAGUGCAGACACAGGCAAGAAGACAGAGAUAUAGUAGGAACCAGGUAUUUAUUUUAUGGUGAGGAAAAGGGAAUCCAGGCCUGGGGAAGCUUGGACUGGUAGUUGGGAACCUAGGGCUAGGGCUGGUAACUGGGAACCUGGGGCUGGGGCUGAGGCUGGUAGCUGGGAACCUGGGGCUGGGGUUGAAGCUGGAAGCUAGGAACCUGGGGCUUGGGCUGGUAGCCAGGAAACAGGAGCUGAGGCAAGCUGGGGCAAGGGGAGCUGGUCCAGAGCAGAAUCUGUAAGGGGAAAGCAGAGUAGAACAAUGGUCCAAGGCAGAGAAGCAGGGCUGACAAGAUGAGAGAGAGGAGACAGGGACCGGAGACAGAGCAGACCGGACUGCAGGGAACAGGAGACAGGGUUAGACCAGGAAAACAGGCAACAAGAAGAUAACAGGAUAAAUGCAGGAGAGAUGGCUUGAAGCGUAGACUGACUGGUGCAGAGGCUACGAUCUGGCUGUGUGGAUAUGGCAGGGCUGAGUAUAAGUAGAUUAUGGAACGGAUUGCAGCUGGCGGUGCUCUGACUCGAGCACAUCUGUCUCCACUCACACCAUCACACAGAGAGAGAGAGAGGGAGAGAACUACUGGGGAAGUGGCAAUAGGUAGGGAGACACAGGACUGAGGCUGGAAUCAUGACAGGAAUGUACCAUUAGAGUAAAGCCGACAUGAGAAAACACAAAAAAUGUGUUUUUAUUAUCUUAAGAGAAAAGAGACUUUCAUCUUUCAGUAAUAAUUAUUACUGCACUGCAGCAGCCAUUUAUAACCUUUAGAAUUUGGAGAGACGUACUGUACAUUUUGCAGGUAGAAGUCUUUAAUGGAACUGAGUGUCUGAAGUGUCUUCAAACAAGACAGAGGUUGUUCGCUUAAAUGUUAAAUCACUUGUUUGAUUGAUUGUAUGGGUCUUUACUGCAAAUCUCUGUCCCCUCUUGAAUUAAACCAGUAAUAAUCUA